rnacentral:rRNA from 1 species
GACGAACGCUGACGGCGUGCUUAACACAUGCAAGUCGAAGGGAGUGGCGAACGGGUGAGUAACACGUGAGUAACCUGCCCUUUUCUUUGGGAUAAGCCUGGGAAACGGGGUCAAAUACUGGAUGGAUUGGGAGGGGCUCGGGGCUUUUUAGCUUGUUGGUGGGGUGAUGGCUUACCAAGGCUUGGACGGGUAGCCGGCCUGAGAGGGUGAUCGGGCACACUGGGACGGAGAUACGGCCCAGGCUCGUACGCGAGGGGGAAGUGGGGGAUAUGGCGGAAUGGACGAAGGUCUGAUGCCGCGGCGUCGUGUGGGGGAUGAAGGCCUUCGGGUUGUAAACUCCUUUCGCCCGCGGGACGGUAGUGGGUAAAGAAGCGCCGGCUAACUACGUGCCAGCAGCCGCGGUAAUAC